rnacentral:miRNA from 2 species
UAAAGGUGGUCAGUAGUAGGUC